rnacentral:rRNA from 1 species
UACGUAGGGGGCAAGCGUUGUCCGGAUUUAUUGGGCGUAAAGAGCGUGUAGGCGGCCAGACAGGUCCGUUGUGAAAACUCGAGGCUCAACCUCGAGACGUCGGUUGAAACCGUACGGCUAGAGUCCGGAAGAGGAGAGUGGAAUUCCCGGUGUAGAGGUGAAAUUCGUAGAUAUCGGGAGGAACACCAGUGGCGAAGGCGGCGAUCUGGGAAGAUACUGACGCUGAGGUGCGAAAGCGUGGGGAGCAAACAGG